rnacentral:rRNA from 1 species
UACGAAGGGGGGCUAGCGUUGUUCGGAAUCACUGGGCGUAAAGGGCGCGUAGGCGGGCUCUCAAGUCGGGGGUGAAAUCGUUCGGCCCAACCGGACAAGGGCUUCCGAUACUGAGAGUCUCGAGGGAGGUAGGGGUCGAGGGAACUGGUGGUGGAGCGGUGAAAUGCGUAGAUAUCUGGAGGAACACCGGUGGCGAAGGCGGCAUCCUGGACCAACACUGACGCUGAGGAGCGAAAGCCAGGGGAGCAAACGGG